rnacentral:rRNA from 1 species
CUGCGAAUGGCUCAUUAAAUCAGUUAUAAUUUAUUUGAUAGUACCUUUACACAUGGAUAACUGUGGUAAUUCUAGAGCUAAUACAUGCUAAAAACCCCGACUUCGGAAGGGGUGUAUUUAUUAGAUUAAAAACCAAUGCCCUUCGGGGCUCCUUGGUGAUUCAUGAUAACUUAACGAAUCGCAUGGCCUUGCGCCGGCGAUGGUUCAUUCAAAUUUCUGCCCUAUCAACUUUCGAUGGUAAGAUAGAGGCUUACCAUGGUGUUGACGGGUAACGGGGAAUUAGGGUUCGAUUCCGGAGAGGGAGCCUGAGAAACGGCUACCACAUCCAAGGAAGGCAGCAGGCGCGCAAAUUACCCAAUCCCAAUCCGGGGAGGUAGUGACGAUAAAUACUGAUGCAGAGCUCUUUUGGGUUUUGCAAUUGGAAUGAGUACAAUCUAAAUCCCUUAACGAGGAACAAUUGGAGGGCAAGUCUGGUGCCAGCAGCCGCGGUAAUUCCAGCUCCAAUAGCGUAUAUUAAAGUUGUUGCGGUUAAAAAGCUCGUAGUUGAACCUUGGGUUUGGCUGGCCGGUCCGCCUCACCGCGUGUACUGGUCCGGCCGAACCUUUCCUUCUGGGGAAUCUCAUGCCCUUCACUGGGUGUGUUGGGGAACCAGGACUUUUACUUUGAAAAAAUUAGAGUGUUCAAAGCAGGCCUAUGCUCGAAUACAUUAGCAUGGAAUAAUAGAAUAGGACGGCAGUUCUAUUUUGUUGGUUUCUAGGAUCGCCGUAAUGAUUAAUAGGGAUAGUCGGGGGCAUCAGUAUUGAAUUGUCAGAGGUGAAAUUCUUGGAUUUAUUCAAGACUAACUACUGCGAAAGCAUUUGCCAAGGAUGUUUUCAUUAAUCAGUGAACGAAAGUUAGGGGAUCGAAGACGAUCAGAUACCGUCGUAGUCUUAACCAUAAACUAUGCCAACUAGCGAUCGGAUGGUGUUUUAUUUUUGACCCAUUCGGCAGCUUGUGAGAAAUCAAAG